UACGAAGGGUGCAAGCGUUACUCGGAAUUACUGGGCGUAAAGCGUGCGUAGGCGGUUAUGCAAGUCCGAUGUGAAAUCCCCGGGCUCAACCUGGGAACUGCAUUUGUGACUGCAUGGCUAGAGUACGGUAGAGGGGGAUGGAAUUCCGCGUGUAGCAGUGAAAUGCGUAGAUAUGCGGAGGAACACCGAUGGCGAAGGCAAUCCCCUGGACCUGUACUGACGCUCAUGCACGAAAGCGUGGGGAGCAAACAGG
rnacentral:rRNA from 1 species